rnacentral:tRNA from 1 species
GUGGGAUUCUGGCUCACUGGUAGAACAUUUGCUUAGCACGCUUGAGGUACUGGGUUCGAUCCUCAGGACCACA